AUACGGAGGGUGCAAGCGUUAUUCGGAAUCACUGGGCGUAAAGGACGCGUAGGUGGGUUGGCAAGUCAGAUGUGAAAUCCUACAGCUUAACUGUAGAACUGCAUUUGAAACUGCUAACCUAGAGUAUGGGAAGGGGAGAUGGAAUUAGUGGUGUAGGGGUAAAAUCCGUAGAUAUCACUAGGAAUACCGAAAGCGAAGGCGAUCUCCUGGAACAUAACUGACGCUAAGGCGUGAAAGCGUGGGGAGCAAACAGGAUUAGAUACCCUAGUAGUCC
rnacentral:rRNA from 1 species